GCCGGCUUAGCUCAAUUGGUAGAGCAACUGACUUGUAAUCAGUAGGUUGAGGGUUCAAGUCCUUUAGCCGGCA
rfam:Clostridium spiroforme DSM 1552 Scfld_02_1 genomic scaffold, whole genome shotgun sequence.